rnacentral:tRNA from 1 species
AAGGAUUUAAGUUAACUUAAACUAUCAACCUUCAAAGUUGAAAUUAGAGGAUUAAGGCCCUAAGCCUUA